rnacentral:rRNA from 1 species
UACGUAGGGCGCAAGCGUUGUCCGGAAUUAUUGGGCGUAAAGAGCUCGUAGGUGGCUGGUCGCGUCUGCCGUGAAAGCCCGCAGCUUAACUGCGGGUCUGCGGUGGAUACGGGCCGGCUAGAGGUAGGCAGGGGCAAGUGGAAUUCCUGGUGUAGCGGUGAAAUGCGCAGAUAUCAGGAGGAACACCGGUGGCGAAGGCGGCUUGCUGGGUCUUACCUGACGCUGAGGAGCGAAAGCGUGGGGAGCGAACAGG